UCUCGUGUCGUGCCGCGGCUCAAUGCCAU
rnacentral:sRNA from 1 species